rnacentral:rRNA from 1 species
CACGUAGUUAGCCGGGGCUUCUUAGUCAGGUACCGUCAUUAUCUUCCCUGCUGAUAGAGCUUUACAUACCGAAAUACUUCUUCACUCACGCGGCGUCGCUGCAUCAGGGUUUCCCCCAUUGUGCAAUGUUCCCCACUGCUGCCUCCCGUAGGAGUCUGGGCCGUGUCUCAGUCCCAAUGUGGCCGUCCACUCUCUCAAGCCGGCUACUGAUCGUCGCCUUGGUGAGCCGUUACCUCACCAACCAGCUAAUCAGACGCGGGUCCAUCCCAUAGCGAUAAAUCUUUGAAGAAAAGAACAUGCGCUCUCUCCUUGUUAUGCGGUAUUAGCAGCCGUUUCCAGCUGUUGUCCCCCUCUAUGGGGCAGGUUGCCCACGCGUUACUCACCCGUCCGCCACUCAGUCAUUACCAUCUUCCCUCCGAAAAAGUUCCGUCGGUAGUGCUUCGUUCGACUUGCAUGUGUUAAGCAGCCGCAGCGUUCAUCCUGAGCCAGG